GAGCAUGAGCAGGGGAGGGACAGAGAGAGAGAGGGAGACACAGAACUGGAAGCAGGCUCCAGGCUCCCAGCUGUCAGCACAGAGCCUGACGUGGCGCUCGAACUCACGGACUGUGAGAUCAUGACCUGAGCUCAAGCCGGACGCUUAACUGACUGAGCCACCCAGGCGCCCCAAGAAAAACUAGCUCUAAAAUAGAGACGGAGUGACUCUAGCCUGGAUACAGCAGCACACAUUUGCGGACACCUCCACUCUUCAACACGAGGAUAUAAAUACAGUGAAAAGAGACACACGCCUUCACCAAGGGACGGCUUUCAGUGCCAACAGAGUCCCCUGAUUUGACGGUUCGGCGGCCUCUACCUGGAUCUCGCCAGGAACGGGCUGACGUGACGUGUGGACAGGUCUGCCCCCCAGUCUGUGCAGGACUCUUGCCUCCUGCCACCUGGAUGGAUGGACGGUGCUGUGCCUCUGGGACCUGCUGCGGGGCUCUGGCGUCCUCCACAGCCCCCUCCCAGCUCGGGUCUCCCUCUGUCCAGGGCGGGCGGGCGGAUGGCCAGCCAAGCCUCUGCUCCCCCUGCGUCCCCAGGCCUCCCUGGCCAUCCAGGCCUUGCCUCCCCUCCCUGCGCCCCAAGGCUCCCAUCCCACUCUUCCCCAUGAUCUCCUGCCGCCCUCACGCCCAGUCCAGGCCUGAGAGUGAAGGGUCCCGGGAGGCGGGCGCCUCGGUGCCCGCUUCCCUUUCGCCGCGGGCUGUUGUGGGCCUGCUCCCACCAGAAGGAGAGCCCGGUGUCAGCGCAGGUGUCACACUCAGUCCUGCACCGACCGACUGCGUCCCGCUCCCGGAGCCACCGGCCACUGUCAGCCACGGACUGCGGCACACUGGGAUUUCCGCACGUUUCCUCUAAAACAAGGGAAACAGUACUGUCGACUGUAAGUAGUCCGUGAGGAUCCCCCCAAGCAAACAUGUGGCUGGUCGGCAAGCUCAGAUCACCGGAAAAUAAUUUCACUCGGAAUAUUCCGUGUGUAUGAGUAGUGAGGUUUGAUUUCGAACAGGCCACUGCUCAGAAUGACAUAAAAACUUAAUAGGAUGGUCUCUCGGGGCACCUGGGGGGCUCCGUCCGUCAGACGUCCGCUCCUGAUUUGGGCUCAGGUCAUGAUCUCACAGUUGGUGGGAUGGAGCCUCUAGUCAGGCUCUGAGCUGACAGUGUGGAGCCUGCUUGGGAUUCUCUCUCUCUCUGCCCCUCCCUUGCUCACACAAUCUGUCUCUGUCUCUCUGAAAGUAAAUAAAUGUUUAAAAAACUUA